UACAGAGGGUGCAAGCGUUAAUCGGAAUUACUGGGCGUAAAGGGCGCGUAGGCGGAUAAUUAAGUUAGGUGUGAAAUCCCUGGGCUUAACCUGGGAACUGCAUUUAAUACUGGUUAUCUAGAGUAGAGUAGAGGGAAGUGGAAUUUACGGUGUAGCGGUGAAAUGCGUAGAUAUCGUAAGGAAGACCAGUGGCGAAGGCGGGUCUCUGGACAGUUCCUGACGCUGAGGCACGAAGGCCAGGGGAGCAAACGGG
rnacentral:rRNA from 1 species